AUUUUUAACAUAGAGUGAACACUCUGUUAUCAUCUCUGCACAUUGUCAACAGCUUACCAACAAAUAACUCUAAGGAUGUGGAAAAUAAAUUUAAUGAAGUUAGGAUAAGUUAAUGCAUUUCACUAGAAAUACAUUAACUCUUCUGGUUCACGUUUGUAAAGGGAUUGAUUUACAGGGAGGUUUGUUGUCAAAAGGAUUUCCAACAUCAAAGAGGCAGAGGAGGAGGAAACCAUUAACAUCAGUUUGGACAGUCAGAUCCAAAUGGACAUCUCUCUCAUCAACUGGAUUUUUUAUUUUACCAGUUGGAUAAAAUGUUAUAUAACUACACACAGUCUGCAGGACGGGUUCAGUGUGAUAGAGACACUCUGGGAGGAAGAAGAGUCAGACUUCAUCUGCACAGAGUCACAGCUCAAGACUCUGGAAAAUGCCCGCUCCUUAAACCAUUAGGAAAACAAAUGGUCGAGCAGAUAAGACUUUUUCCAUUGCUUUUUUCUUGGUGGGGUAGUUAAAGGGUUAACUGCUUACUGUCUGCACUCAUAAACAAAGGUUUACCAUCUUGUCUAUGACAUUAUCUACAGAUGAGUCGGAAGGGAAAAAAAUACUAUGUGCAGUUCUUAAGCCUGAGAAUAUACUUCACAGCUUUCGCAAGUAUUUGUUGACUUUAGCGCUGCAAAAUGUCACAGUUUUGUUUCAUAUUAUCUGUGAUGGCUAACUAAGACAGAGUACAUCCUGGACAGCUCACUAGUUCCCACACGGCUGGCACUUUUCCGCCAGCCGAACGCACAAACACCAACAGCAACAAUAACCAGGACCCAGUGCAGACUUUUUAUGUCGGUGAGGCGUGAUUGCGGAUGCCGUGCAGGUGCAUCCACCUCCCCUGCAGCAGCACCGCAGACCACGCCCCCCCCCACAGGCAUAAAGCUCAACACUAGGAUGGAAUCAGCAUCAAUUCAGCUAAACCCAAGAAAAUUGUUCAAGCAAAAAAAUUGUAACGUCAGCUACAUAUCAGUGAAUCAGAACAAAGACAGCAGCCACAGUCCACCUGAUGAGCAUGUAGCACUUCAAUCUAGUGACAUCCUAUAAUGACACAAUAAAAGCAGUAAAUCACCAAAUGUGUCCAAGCCUUUCAUUUCAUAAUAAGAGUGACAGGAAAUAUAAUGAAUGUCAGCUCACUGUUUAGAUUUAAAACAUUAAGAGACCACAGUGCUACCACUGAAAGUCAUGAGGAUCUGAACUGUAAUCAAACACGUCUGAACUCUCUGCUGUUCAAACCACGAGGGCGUGUCAGCACCUGGAGUCAAAGCAUAAAAAUCCACAGAGGUCACACAGAAGAAAGUGAGCCGCAGACUGAAGCAUGGUGGUGAUCAGCUGUUGGGAGAAGAUGAUCUGCAGGAUCCUGCUGCUCAUCAUCCUCACCUCAUGUGUCUCUGGAUCAUUUGUAGUCAAUGUGACACAGACCUCCUAUCAGGCAGAGGAGAACCACAACAUCACACUGGAGUGGACGUUCACCACCAAACCUGACAGAUCCACAAACUCUGCUUCCAUCAUGUGUCAACACAUGACUAAUUAUAAAACCUUUGGUGUUGAGGUGUCAGCAUCUUCAACUGUCCAGACUCAGGACUGAUGACUCUGGUCUGUACCUGUGUGAGGUGAACACUGAUCAUGGUGCUGGUAAUGAGAGCAGUCACCUCAGCGUCACACGUAAAUUACUAAGGAGUAUUUGUUUUAUUUUUAUUUUUUUCCUUUUUUCUUCUUUAAAUAUGAUUUCACCACUGAGGAUAUUAAGGGCAUUACUGCCUUUCAUAACAGAUGCAUAAUAUAUUUUUUAAUAGCAACACAUAUCUCUGUUUUACAACAGCAGCUGAUCAACCUCAGAGACCGACACUGAGUCCUCCAGAGAGCUGGAGAAGCAUGAGCUUGUACGUUGGACCGGGGCUGGGAGUAGCUGCUGUAGUUUCCGUGAUUAUUGGAAAGGAGAAAAAGCCACGAAACCCAGCAGGGAGUGCCUCAGAGAGACAACCCAUCAGGACUAAGGGGACUUUUUCUGAAGGACCUGCUUCCUAUGAGGACACAUCAUUUCAGAUGUACUUAUAGACAUGAACCUCUCUCCCAAAAACAUCUGUUUGAAAUGUCAGACAGCAAUUUAUGAUCUAAAACAGAAAACUGUAGUUUUUCUGUUUCAUUAUGUUUGUGCCACACUUGGUUUGACUGUUAUAUAACUCCAGCUGUUUCCCCUGAUGUGUAAAGAAAGAAACGAUGAUCAAACAUUUACUGUUUUAUUAUAAAUUUCAUUACAUCUUUGACAUUCUCAUUUAAUCCCCAUAUUACUGUUUUAAGUAAUGGUAAUGUUAAACUUGUUUUGAAUCCCACUCUAUCUUGUUUUGAGAGAUCAAGGAAUUCUUUCAUGUCCUAACUGACAUGGAUAUGGUUUGGUUAGUGUUGCUUUUUCAUUUUGUUUGAUAUUUAUUGUGUUGCUUAGGGUGUUUUACUGAAGCAGUUUGCAACAUUGGUUUCAAUAAGUGCCAUAAAAUAAUAAUAAUGUUAAUGAUAAUGAUAAUAAUAACAAUAAUAAUAACAACAACAAUAAUAAUAAUAAUGAUAAUAUAUUUGAUUGGAUACAGUGAAGUGGUGAGCUUAUAGCACCAUCAUCUGGCCAAGAGGGUGAAUUUCACUUAGUUCCAUAAGUGGAGGAAAAUACUUAUUUUCAUGGAUAUUUUUCUUUCCCCAUAAAAGCAAAUCAAUCCAUGCCUAAAUUAUUUUGAUGAAGUUCUUGUUGCUGUUAUGCUCCUCCUCUAUAGUGCAUAAAGAACUGUAUGUUGUAUCUUCAUGCAGGAACAACAUCUCAUAUUGAUCUCAGAAUCUAUUUCCAGACAUGAUUUGUGUCCUGCAGGCAGCGUCUUGAAAUCUCAGUGUAGUUCAAAAUUUAGACUGGAUUUAAAACAAGAAGAAAGCAUUGAGCAUGAGACAUGAAAUUCGUCCAGUUCACGAACUCCAGCUCAAAGAAAUCGAGUUCAUCAGCCUGUGUGUGUUGAUUUGAGAAAGAAAUGAAAUAAAAGCAGCAGCAGCAGUUUAGUUUGAGUUUGUCGAAACCACAAGUUACAGAAACCUGCAGCAGAAUUUUAGACAAUGAAAAAUCGAACCAUCUGCUCAGCUCAUGCCUUUCUCUAUGGAAUGUGCAUGUACCAAAGUCUAAUAACAACUGUUGUAUGUGCAUAAAGAAAGGACUAUUUUCUUACUGCAUGUUUGUUAUUGCAAAUCCUGUAAACCACGUCAUUAAUAAAGUUUAUUGUUGUUUGUAAAAACAAAAGGGUCGUGACAGUGUGCUCCUUAAAGGAACACAUACACUUUGAGGAAACAGGAAGCAAAUGAGGUGUGUUAUCUGCCGUAACAAAGUCCAGUCCCUACUGUCAGGAUUAAAUAACAGCACAUUUCCUUCUUUGGUCUUGUUGACUCCAGGCACUUGUUAAAGUUUAACCACUGAAUACAGCUGAUGGGAAAACAGCGUAUUUAUAGGCUAAAUCCUCUGGUGGAUUAAAGGCUGUACAAACUGAAGAGAGCAGAAGUUGUUUUUUGUUUUUUUUAAAGUUCCCAUUUGGUGGCAGGAUGAGUCCAGCUUAGAAAUACAGGACACACAUGGGAGCAUAACCUACAUCAUCAUCCUUUCUGCAGUGAUACAUGAGCACAUAAUAAGCACUUCAUAUCACAAUGAGGCUUUCUGGUACUUCAAACAGACAUUAUGCUGUCUUGGAUUCUUGAACUUCAGGUUUUCUGCCUGAUGCUCUGACGGCUCGUCCGUAUAGAAAUGGCUCCCAUGGCUCCCUCUUAGCCCUGCUUUUAGUUUCUCUUAGUGCAAAUUGACACCACAAAGCUCCUGUUAAACAUUUAAAUAAAAUUUUUGUAUCUUCUCAGCCGAGUAUGACAUCUUAAGGCACAGAAACGAUUAACCAGUAAAACUGCAAGGCCAAGUAAAGCUGUCAGUUCCAGUCCCAGUGCAGUGUAGAGGACCGUCCUCUGCAUCCAGGUGUGUGCUGAUGGAACAGCAGCUGCUGCAAAGGAGAGAAAAAUGAAGAGAGAAUAUUUUGAUAUCAUUGGUAGCUGUUGGCAGCUCCUGUUCUGAAACAUCAUAAAGAAACAACAAAAAACUUUGAUAACAAUUGGAGCAUAAAGAACUCGAUGAACAAUAAGAUUACUGACAGGCCCUGCUGCUCUCUUAUAUAGCAGAAUUGAUAAAUAUGAAGUUAAAGGGAACCAAGUAGUCAACUGUAUAUCAGUACAGUGACAUAUAACCCCUUUAACCUUGGGUGUUGAACUCCAGGCCUCUGGAGAACUGCAAGACAUGUUGAGGAGGUAAUUUAGCCAUUUGAAUCAGCUGUGUUGGGUCAAGGACACAUCUAAAACCUGCAGGACACUGACUCUUGAGGCCUGGAGUUCAACACCUGUGCCUUAAACAUUGGAAAUUAUCAUUUCUACUCUUUAGUCCAGCUUAAAAAAAAGCAAAAAACCUUUAAAGGUUCUGACAUGCAGACACAGUAUCCUUCAGGCAGAAAAAAAUACAGCUAUUUGCAGACUUUAUGCUUUGAGCAUUUGUAUUACUUCGAUCUUUAAGGCAAAGGCAGGAGGAAGUUCAUCUCAUUUUGAAUCUUUAUAAAAACAAUUUGUACUGUUUUUAUAUAUUUAUGCUGUUAUUCAAAUGUAUAUUUAGCAUAAAAACAGAUCCUAUUAUGUUUUUUUUAGGAAAACAAAUAUUCUUUGUUGGUUUCUGAAUGUCUGAAUGGAGAACUGCUUUAACUUUCUUACCGUGUAUGCUGAGUCGACAAUAAUCAAAGCCAUAAUCAUACUCGGUUUUCACCUCACACAGGUACAGACCCGAGUCAUCAGUCCUGAGUCUGGACAGUUGAAGUCUGAUUCGUCCUUCUCUGAGGGCGUCUUUGUCACUCUGGACUCGUCCUGAAAACUUUUCAUCCUGAGACUCUGACACCUCAACAUCAUUGGACACAUGAUAGAAGCCAAAGGUUUUAUAAUUAGUCAUCUGUUGGCAGAUGAUGGAAGCAGAGUUUGUGGAGUUGUCAGGGUUGGUGGUGAACGUCCACUCCAGUGUGAUGUUGUGGUUCUCCUCUGCCUGAUAGGAGGUCUGUGUCAC
ensembl:lncRNA